rnacentral:rRNA from 1 species
UACGGGGGGGGCAAGCGUUGUUCGGAAUUACUGGGCGUAAAGGGCUCGUAGGCGGCCAACUAAGUCGGACGUGAAAUCCCCAGGCUCAACCUGGGAACUGCGUCCGAUACUGGAUGGCUUGAAUUCGGGAGAGGGAUGCAGAAUUCCUGGUGUAGCGGUGAAAUGCGCAGAUAUCAGGAGGAACACCGGUGGCGAAGGCGGUUCUCUGGGCAUUACCUGACGCUGAGGAGCGAAAGUGUGGGGAGCGAACAGG